rnacentral:rRNA from 1 species
GUGCCAGCCGCCGCGGUAAUACGGAGGGUGCGAGCGUUAAUCGGAAUUACUGGGCGUAAAGCGUACGUAGGUGGCCUGUUAAGCAAGAUGUGAAAUCCCCGGGCUCAACCUGGGAAUGGCAUUUUGAACUGGCAGGCUAGAGUUCUGAAGAGGGUGGUAGAAUUUCCUGUGUAGCGGUGAAAUGCGUAGAUAUAGGAAGGAAUACCGGUGGCGAAGGCGGCCACCUGGUCAGAAACUGACGCUGAGGUACGAAAGCGGGGGGAGCAAACAGGAUUAGAUACCCCUGUAGUCC